rnacentral:rRNA from 1 species
UACGGAAGGCAGCAGUGGGGAAUAUUGCACAAUGGGCGCAAGCCUGAUGCAGCCAUGCCGCGUGUAUGAAGAAGGCCUUCGGGUUGUAAAGUACUUUCAGUCGUGAGGAAGGUGUUAAGGUUAAUAACCUUAGCAAUUGACGUUAGCGACAGAAGAAGCACCGGCUAACUCCGUGCCAGCAGCCGCGGUAAUACGGAGGGUGCGAGCGUUAAUCGGAAUUACUGGGCGUAAAGGGCACGCAGGCGGUUAAUUAAGUUGGAUGUGAAAUCCCCGGGCUAACCUGGGAAUGGCAUUCAAGACUGGUUAGCUAGAGUCUUGUAGAGGGGGUAGAAUUCCAUGUGUAGCGGUGAAAUGCGUAGAGAUGUGGAGGAAUACCGGUGGCGAAGGCGGCCCCUGGACAAAGACUGACGCUCAUGUGCGAAAGCGUGGGGAGCAAAC